GACGAACGCUGGCGGCGUGCUUAACACAUGCAAGUCGAACGGAAAGGCCCUGCGUUUGUUGGGUUCACGUUAGCGGAAGGGGGGAGAAAAACACGAGGAACACCCCCUUAUCUUUGGGGGAACUCUUGGGAACAGGGGAGAUAAUAGGGUAGAAGCUCUUGAUCCGUGUGGGGGGUUGGAAAAAUUCGGUGGUGGGGGAUGGACUAGCUGGUUACCAGCUGGAUUGUGGGGUAGUGGCUGACAAGGGCUUUGACGGGUAGCCGGCCUGAGAGCGUGACCGGCCACAUUGCGCCUGAGAUACGGCCCAGACUCCUACGGGACGCAGCAGUGGGGAAUAUUGCACAAUGGGCGGAAGCCUGAUGCAGCAACGCCGCGUGCGGGAUGACGGCCUUCGGGUUGUAAACCGCUUUCGCCUGUGACGAAGCGUGAGUGACGGUAAUGGGUCAAGAAGCACCGGCUAACUACGUG
rnacentral:rRNA from 1 species